CCCCGGUGAUAAAUGGAGGCCUCCCUCCUCCUGAGCAGAUAUUGAUGGUUCUUUGGGCUUAUUCCUUUAAUCUGUUGUUCACCUCGGAGCGGAAAUAGAAUCCCCCCCCCAGGGUCAUUUGGCCCCUCGUAUCUCUGUCCGAGCCGACAACUCUCUCCCCCAUAUUUCCUAGUUUACCUCAAACCUUCAGCUUCACCACGUGGAACAAGAAGAAGAAACACAAUACAAACCGUUUAAUUCUUUGUUCACGUCACAUCAGAUUCCAUCUUCUAAACUACAGAUACAUUUGAGCAUUUCAUCACUCCAACGAGUCCUCAUCAUUGUUGUUGUUGUUUGUGCUUCUCAGGACAGCGGUUGGCGAUGUAGUGACUGACGGCGUGUCCAGGUGUGUAGUGUGCAAACAGUCAAAGCUCCGCCCCUUUCCUGCAGGUACAUUGUCACCACGAUUGAGACUGAAAGAUCAUUUAUCUUAUAAUAAAACCCGCGACUGACAUCGUUCUGAUGCUUCAUUGUAAUUCCAAACUGAUUGCCAUGGCAACGCCCCGCCUCCACUGAGCGACGUAAAAACAAUCUGGGUGGGGAGAAAGAUAUAGAUGUAUAUAUUUUAUUAUAAAAUCUAUUCGACCAAACGGUGGUUUAUAAACUGACGAUGUACCAACAAAAAUAAGAGUUUAACCAUCGGAGACGACAGAGUGCAUCAACGCAGCGAGCGGCAAACAAAAUGCUACAAAACUUCUACAGAGAAACGAGACACUCGUUCUGACCAGAUGUUAGCUGAUGCUCUCUAAUGCUAGCAGAUGUUAGCUGAUGCUUUCUAAUGCUAGCAGAUGUUAGCUGAUGCUCUCUAAUGCUAGCAGAUGUUAGCUGAUAAUCUCUAAUGCUAGCAGAUGUUAGCUGAUAAUCUCUAAUGCUAGCAGAUGUUAGCUGAUGCUCUCUAAUGCUAGCAGAUGUUAGCUGAUGCUCUCUAAUGCUAGCAGAUGUUAGCUGAUGUUAGCCGAUGUUAGCCGAUGUUAGCCGAUGUUAGCUGUAGCUAGCACCUGUUCGUUGGUCUGCUGGAUCACGAGUCAGUAAAAUCUCUUAAUAAACGUAAUAAACCUAAAAUACACUACGCGUAUAAUCACAGUAGUUUCUGGCACCGUAAACAUGUUUCAGUAGUUUCACCAUCAAACCGCGCGACCUCCGCGGAGAGCCCCUCCCCUCAGAGGUCCGUGGUGAUGACGGGCGUGACCCCGUGGAUGAGCAGCGUGGGGCCCAGGUCCCGCGUCAUCAGCUGCAGCUGCUGCAGGUAGGUGGUGUAGCGCCGGGUGUCGGCCGGCGGGCGGGGCAAGUACAGGAAACGCACGGCGGGCGGCGGCCGGGCCGAGUCCAGGAUCAGCCGGUUGACGGCGGACAGGUAGUCGUCCGACAGGCGCGUGGCGUUGCUCGGGAAGCUGUUGGCGUACUGGUCGUCGUUCUCCUCCUCUUGCUCCGCCCGCCGCUCCUUCUCCUCGCCGGGGGACGGCGGCGGCGGAGGCGGCUUCUUGCCCCACUCGCCCUGCCGCUGCCAGUGGAGCGCCACCUGCUGGUCCCAGGGCACAGAGUACACCUGAGCUUUGAUGCGCAGCUCCUUCAGCAGCUGGCCCAGCUUCUGCUCCGAGCCCCUCACCGUCCGCCCCUCCUCCACGCACAGGAAGAGGCGGAGCGUGGCCCGGCGCCAUGCGCGCACCAUGUUGAGGAUGCACGCCAGCUGCAGCAGGAAGAGGGAGCAGGUGUCGACGUAGCUGCAGCUGUCGGGGCGCAGCAGGUUGACGGGCCAGACGUCGACGUACAGCGCCCCUUCGGCCCGGCGGAGAGGACGCGGCCGCGGUCAAAGUCGUUGAAGUGCCGGGCGAGCACCACGUUCUUCAGCAUCUUCAUGGCGUCGGCGAUGACGGACACGUACUCCUGGGGGCCGAGGACCUUCCCGUCGCCCGACUCGCCGAGGUCCCGCCCGUCGCCGGACCCCCGCAGGGUCGAGAAGUGGAAGAGGGCGGGCUGCCCCUCGGGGAUUCUGAGGGGUCCGCGGGCUGGCCGGCGGCGAGCAACGGAUCGAUCAGCUUGUCCCUCGGGAGGCCGUCGUCGUAGAAACCGAGGACGAGGGUGUUGGGACGCAUCCCGCCUGAAACGGUACAAAGGGUGGGGGGGGCGUGGGGGGGGUCCGGUGAGACUGGAACUCCAGAGAAUAAACGUCUGUAAGCUCAGUUAGUUUCUUCGUCCUCGUAUAUCAGCAAUCAGCAAAACGUAUUUAACAGCAUGUUUUUGUAACGAAAGGUUCAAGCACUGAAAGCAGUGAAGUGGCUGCUUACUGAGCAAAGUUCUCUGACUGGAAUUAUACUGAAUGAGCUCGAGUUGAAGUGGAGCUUCAAUGGAAACACAGAAAGAAACUAAACACACACUAAAACGACGAGUUUAAGUGUUAAUUAGAUUAGAAUAACCACCAUGAAUAACAGAAUAACAGCAGGUGGCGGUUGAACUUGAAGUGUUAGCGCUCAGUGAAGUGGAAGUGUGAGUUUCAGUUUGGGCACUAAAGGAAAAGGAAGUGGCCGCCAAAACAAAGAGACAGUCAAAGAGGGGCGAUGAUAGUUUAGGCCACGCAGACGCUCGGACGGCGACAUUAAUACCAGCGCGAGCGUCCCGGCGACCUCACCGACCUGCUGGUGCAUUGUGGGCCGGCGAUGGCACUGACCUAGUCCAGAGAUGAAGAGGAGGUGCUGGACGCCGUGACGCACCGAGUCGGCCAGCGUCAAGUUGACGAAGGCUUUGAUGUUGAGGUGGUCCACCAGCGACAGCCAGGAGUCGUACUUGGACUGCAGGGGGUCCGACGGCAGCUUGUCUGAUGGGGGGGGGGGACAAAACGGUGUGAGGCGAGGGAGAAGAGCUGCUGGGCUUCAGAGACAAAUAGAGGGGGAGGAGGAAGAGAUGAGAGGCUCAGAUGUCGGCACACAGAGCCCCCCCUCCCCGCCCUUCAAAAUAAAACAUCAAGCAAUUCAUAGAGUGUGAUCUCUACAGACUCAUUGGAACUCUGAAGCACUUUAAAUGGAAUGCUUGGGACAGGUCGUCAUUACAGGGGUCCUCAGAAU
ensembl:lncRNA